CACCUCAUCAACUGGAAGGGAUUCCUUCCGGUUGAUGAGGUUGUUACACCUCAUCAACCGGAAGGGAUUCCUUCUGGUUGAUGAGGUU
rnacentral:miRNA from 1 species